rnacentral:rRNA from 1 species
ACUCAAAGGAAUUGACGGGGGCCCGCACAAGCAGUGGAGUAUGUGGUUUAAUUCGAAGCAACGCGAAGAACCUUACCAGGGCUUGACAUCCCGCGCAUAGUAUGGAGACAUAUGAAGCCUUUCGGGGCGCGGAGACAGGUGGUGCAUGGUUGUCGUCAGCUCGUGUCGUGAGAUGUUGGGUUAAGUCCCGCAACGAGCGCAACCCUUGUUGUCAGUUGCCAUCAUUAAGUUGGGCACUCUGGCAAUACUGCCGGUGACAAAUCGGAGGAAGGUGGGGACGAGGUCAAAUCAUCAUGCCCCUUAUGUCCUGGGCUACACACGUACUACAAUGGCUAUAACAGAGGGAUGCGAUGGAGCAAUCCGGAGCCAAACCCUAAAAAAUAGUCUCAGUUCGGAUUGUGGGCUGCAACUCGCCCACAUGAAGUCGGAAUUGCUAGUAAUGGCAGGUCAGCAUACUGCCGUGAAUACGUUCCCGGGCCUUGUACACACCGCCCGU